rnacentral:rRNA from 1 species
UACGUAGGGUGCGAGCGUUGUCCGGAUUUAUUGGGCGUAAAGAGCUCGUAGGCGGUUUGUCGCGUCGGCCGUGAAAACCUACAGCUUAACUGUGGGCUUGCGGUCGAUACGGGCAGACUUGAGUUCGGCAGGGGAGACUGGAAUUCCUGGUGUAGCGGUGAAAUGCGCAGAUAUCAGGAGGAACACCGGUGGCGAAGGCAGGUCUCUGGGCCACUACUGACGCUGAGAAGCGAAAGCAUGGGGAGCGAACAGGAUUAGAUACCCU